AAUCAACGCUGGCGGCGUGCCUAACACAUGCAAGUCGAGCGAGAAAGGGGCUUCGGCCCUGAGUAAAGCGGCGCACGGGUGAGUAACACGUGGGUAAUCUGCCCUCGAGUGGGGAAUAACACCGGGAAACCGGUGCUAAUACCGCAUACGAUCACGAUGUUUUCGGAUGUUGUGAUGAAAGGAGCAAUUCGCUCUUGGAGGAGCCCGCGGCUGAUUAGCUAGUUGGUGAGGUAAUGGCUCACCAAGGCAACGAUCAGUAGCCGGUCUGAGAGGACGGUCGGCCACACUGGAACUGAGACACGGUCCAGACUCCUACGGGAGGCAGCAGUGGGGAAUUUUUCGCAAUGGGGGCAACCCUGACGAAGCAACGCCGCGUGGAUGAUGAAGUCUCUUGGGACGUAAAAUCCUUUCGACAGGGAAGAAACCGCAAGGUUGACGGUACCUGUAGAAGAAGCCCCGGCUAACUCCGUGCCAGCAGCCGCGGUAA
rnacentral:rRNA from 1 species